rnacentral:rRNA from 1 species
GGGUUGUGAGGUUAAGCGACUAAGCGUACACGGUGGAUGCCCUGGCAGUCAGAGGCGAUGAAGGGCGUGCUAAUCUGCGAUAAGCGCCGGUAAGGUGAUAUGAACCGUUAUAACCGGCGAUACCCGAAUGGGGAAACCCAGUGUGACUCGUCACACUAUCAUUAACUGAAUCCAUAGGUUAAUGAGGCGAACCGGGGGAACUGAAACAUCUAAGUACCCCGAGGAAAAGAAAUCAACCGAGAUUCCCCCAGUAGCGGCGAGCGAACGGGGAGGAGCCCAGAGCCUGAAUCAGCAUGUGUGUUAGUGGAAGCGUCUGGAAAGGCGCGCGAUACAGGGUGACAGCCCCGUACACAAAAGCGCAUGUGCUGUGAGCUCGAUGAGUAGGGCGGGACACGUGGUAUCCUGUCUGAAUAUGGGGGGACCAUCCUCCAAGGCUAAAUACUCCUGACUGACCGAUAGUGAACCAGUACCGUGAGGGAAAGGCGAAAAGAACCCCGGCGAGGGGAGUGAAAAAGAACCUGAAACCGUGUACGUACAAGCAGUGGGAGCACAGGUUUACCUGUGUGACUGCGUACCUUUUGUAUAAUGGGUCAGCGACUUAUAUUCUGUAGCAAGGUUAACCGAAUAGGGGAGCCGGAGGGAAACCGAGUCUUAAUUGGGCGUUAAGUUGCAGGGUAUAGACCCGAAACCCGGUGAUCUAGCCAUGGGCAGGUUGAAGGUUGGGUAACACUAACUGGAGGACCGAACCGACUAAUGUUGAAAAAUUAGCGGAUGACCUGUGGCUGGGGGUGAAAGGCCAAUCAAACCGGGAGAUAGCUGGUUCUCCCCGAAAGCUAUUUAGGUAGCGCCUCGUGAAUUCAUCUCCGGGGGUAGAGCACUGUUUCGGCUAGGGGGCCAUCCCGGCUUACCAACCCGAUGCAAACUGCGAAUACCGGAGAAUGUUAUCACGGGAGACACACGGCGGGUGCUAACGUCCGUCGUGAAGAGGGAAACAACCCAGACCGCCAGCUAAGGUCCCAAAGUCAUGGUUAAGUGGGAAACGAUGUGGGAAGGCCCAGACAGCCAGGAUGUUGGCUUAGAAGCAGCCAUCAUUUAAAGAAAGCGUAAUAGCUCACUGGUCGAGUCGGCCUGCGCGGAAGAUGUAACGGGGCUAAACCAUGCACCGAAGCUGCGGCAGCGAACGUAUCACUUAAAGCGAUUCAGCGGGUUACGAUUGACGGAGCGAAGCGACGUCAAAGCGUAUACAAAGUCGAGUCGGUUUAAGGAUACGUUCGUUGGGUAGGGGAGCGUUCUGUAAGCCUGCGAAGGUGUCCCGUGAGGGUUGCUGGAGGUAUCAGAAGUGCGAAUGCUGACAUAAGUAACGAUAAAGCGGGUGAAAAGCCCGCUCGCCGGAAGACCAAGGGUUCCUGUCCAACGUUAAUCGGGGCAGGGUGAGUCGACCCCUAAGGCGAGGCCGAAAGGCGUAGUCGAUGGGAAACGGGUUAAUAUUCCCGUACUUGGUGUUACUGCGAAGGGGGGACGGAGAAGGCUAUGUUGGCCGGGCGACGGUUGUCCCGGUUUAAGCGUGUAGGUGUGUGUUCCAGGUAAAUCCGGUUCACUUUAACACUGAGGCGUGAUGACGAGGCACUACGGUGCUGAAGCAACAAAUGCCCUGCUUCCAGGAAAAGCCUCUAAGCAUCAGGUAACAUCAAAUCGUACCCCAAACCGACACAGGUGGUCAGGUAGAGAAUACCAAGGCGCUUGAGAGAACUCGGGUGAAGGAACUAGGCAAAAUGGUGCCGUAACUUCGGGAGAAGGCACGCUGACACGUAGGUGAAGUGAUUUACUCAUGGAGCUGAAGUCAGUCGAAGAUACCAGCUGGCUGCAACUGUUUAUUAAAAACACAGCACUGUGCAAACACGAAAGUGGACGUAUACGGUGUGACGCCUGCCCGGUGCCGGAAGGUUAAUUGAUGGGGUCAGCGCAAGCGAAGCUCCUGAUCGAAGCCCCGGUAAACGGCGGCCGUAACUAUAACGGUCCUAAGGUAGCGAAAUUCCUUGUCGGGUAAGUUCCGACCUGCACGAAUGGCGUAAUGAUGGCCAGGCUGUCUCCACCCGAGACUCAGUGAAAUUGAACUCGCUGUGAAGAUGCAGUGUACCCGCGGCAAGACGGAAAGACCCCGUGAACCUUUACUAUAGCUUGACACUGAACAUUGAGCCUUGAUGUGUAGGAUAGGUGGGAGGCUUUGAAGUGUGGACGCCAGUCUGCAUGGAGCCGACCUUGAAAUACCACCCUUUAAUGUUUGAUGUUCUAACGUGGACCCGUAAUCCGGGUUGCGGACAGUGUCUGGUGGGUAGUUUGACUGGGGCGGUCUCCUCCUAAAGAGUAACGGAGGAGCACGAAGGUUGGCUAAUCCUGGUCGGACAUCAGGAGGUUAGUGCAAUGGCAUAAGCCAGCUUGACUGCGAGCGUGACGGCGCGAGCAGGUGCGAAAGCAGGUCAUAGUGAUCCGGUGGUUCUGAAUGGAAGGGCCAUCGCUCAACGGAUAAAAGGUACUCCGGGGAUAACAGGCUGAUACCGCCCAAGAGUUCAUAUCGACGGCGGUGUUUGGCACCUCGAUGUCGGCUCAUCACAUCCUGGGGCUGAAGUAGGUCCCAAGGGUAUGGCUGUUCGCCAUUUAAAGUGGUACGCGAGCUGGGUUUAGAACGUCGUGAGACAGUUCGGUCCCUAUCUGCCGUGGGCGCUGGAGAACUGAGGGGGGCUGCUCCUAGUACGAGAGGACCGGAGUGGACGCAUCACUGGUGUUCGGGUUGUCAUGCCAAUGGCACUGCCCGGUAGCUAAAUGCGGAAGAGAUAAGUGCUGAAAGCAUCUAAGCACGAAACUUGCCCCGAGAUGAGUUCUCCCUGAGACUUAGAGUCUCCUGAAGGAACGUUGAAGACGACGACGUUGAUAGGCCGGGUGUGUAAGCGCAGCGAUGCGUUGAGCUAACCGGUACUAAUGAACCGUGAGGCUUAACCUUACAACGCCGAAG